GCCACGGUGGUCUAGCGGUUAGAACGCUGGCCUUGUAAUCCUGGAGUCUUGGGUUCGAUUCCCGGCGGUGCCC
rnacentral:tRNA from 1 species